UUUUAUUUUGUAAUAAAAUGUUAUUAUUAAAUUUUUCAAUUAUUUUAUAAAUUUUAUUUUAUUUACAGAUCAAAUAGGAUAUUCUUUAAAAUUCUAAAUCAUUUCGGUUAUCAGAGUCACCGACUAUCCAGGUGGCUAAAGAUUGAAUCGACUUGAAUGCCUCUAAAUACCAAGAUAUUCGAUCUGUGUCCACCUCUAUUUACGGAUACAAUUGAUUUUUCUUUAUAUGAAAAAAUUUCAGUAAAGUCAAGGCCUUUUUAAUUUUUAAUUAAUUUUAAUUUUAUCUUUCAUGUAUUAUUUAGAACAAAAAUGUCAUUUAAUAUUAAUUAACAAUAUCUUUAUAUAUUUGUCAUUUAUUCUUAUAUACUUUUACAUACAUAUACAUGUGCACCUUGAUGUGAGCACUUUAUAAGUAUUUACCACCACUAAAGUAUCUAUUUUUUUUUAGAAGUUAAAAUAUUUUUUUCUUAAUGCUUCUUUCACUACCGACCAAAUUGUAGUGAAAUGAGUUGUUUUAAUAAUUUUCUUUUCUUUUUCUUGAACUAUUAUCCGCUUACAAACUAUGAUAUGAAACCAUUGGUUCGACAUGAAGAUUAUCUAAAAUUUAUAACAUGAAAAUAAACAAAUAAUAG
rnacentral:lncRNA from 1 species